rnacentral:lncRNA from 1 species
CGUCGCAGUCGAAGAUGAAGGUCUCGACGGAGUCGAUGAGCGCGUCGGCGUCCUCGAGCUUGGCCGCCGGAGCCGCCCCCGCGGCGGCCAUCACGGAACGCCUCGCCACGCCGCGGUGCGGUGCCGGUGACGCCGCCGCGGCCAAGGACACCGGCCCGCCGCGCCGCUGGCCGCUCUUCCCCAGGAACGGGGAGGGCGCCGGCGCCUGCGCCGAGGAGGAGGUGGAGGAGGAGGUGGAGGGGAGGAAUGUGGGGGACGCGCGAACCUGGAGCAGCAUCGCUGCGGCGCGCUCUGUUUUUAUCGGGAUGGCGUUUUGUUCGUGCGC